rnacentral:lncRNA from 1 species
AAAGAAGAGCCAGCAUUGCAUGGCAUACCUGGGGUACAGAUGAGUGUAAGGAAUGAAAAUUUAAUAAGGAGGAAGACUCUGCAACUCACUGCUCCUGAAACACAAGAUGAACCCCUUUAUCUUUGACCCCGCCUUCAUGUCCUGAAGACUGCUAGCUCUUCGCAUACUACCAUUCUCCCUAGUGCAAUUCAUGCCAUAGGUAUUGGUGACUUCCACUCUGGCCUCUCCGUUUCUUGAAUUUCUCUCCUCCAAUACUCUUGUCCUACAGUCUUCCUUAGGCACUCAUUCUAUUGUCUGUACCCUAGAUCAGCAGUUCUCAAGAAGUAAUCCAAUGUAUCCUAGGUCUCCAAGAUACUUUCAGGGGGCUUAUGGUGUAAAACCAUUUUUAUACUACUACCAAGAUGUUACUUACCUUUUUUCUUUUUCUCAUCUCACAUGUGUACAGUGUUUUCCAGAGGUUACAUGACAUGUAAUGCCACAACAGAUUGACUACAGAAGCAGGCCAUGCAGAAGUAGAUGGUUGAGGAUGUGUAGAAGGAAACACUGGAGAGGCACAAGCACAGGCACAGUCCGCACAACUUCUGACCACCAUUCAUGUUGUCUUCUAGAGAGGGUCCUUGUAGAGCAAAUUCGCCUUCCCACCUGUAACUUGCCUUGUUUAGAAUUAAACCAUUUUUAUUUUUAUUAAAUAUUGAAAAUCAAAACUGAAUAUACAAUCUGUGUACACAAGAUUUGUGUUUUGUGCAUGUCUGUGUGUUUGUGUGUGCGUACGUGCACAUGUGCCUUUGGAGGAGCUCAAAGUGAAUAAGGAGCCAAGUAAGUAUGAGAGAUGAACAUCAUCCUCAUGAUGUAGAUGCUGCUGUAGCAACAAGAGAUGCCAUCAGUUAGCUGUCCAUAAGAUAGAUCUGCGAUUUCUAAAUCUGGAGAUUGCAUACCCUGUCUGAAAAAUGUUGAGCAUGAGCCACCAAUAUUUUCGAGUAAUAAACAUGCAUUUGAAAACAUACACACAAUUAGAAAUGAAAGUGGAUGUAUUGAAAGUUAAAUGUAAUUAUUAUAAACUACUUUUUAUUUGUAGUUUAUUAAUGGAAUGAUUAUAGAGAACCCUUUCCUCUCACUAGUGUAAUAAUUUAAUGUAAGCAAUGUGAUGGAAUAGCUCAUUAUUUUCAAACUCUUGGAUUACAGUUUUUCAUGUAGAGAUUUGAGGAUCACGUUCACUGUAUUUGGAUACUCGUUUGUACUUUCUGUCAUAGGUUAAAGAGAUACUUCAAAAAGAUAACUGCAUGCAAAUGGAAGGGAUGCAGUGUUAGUUGUACUUACCAAAUUGUGACUUUCAUUUUCAUUUCAGGUGCUAAUCAUGUAAAUGUUUUAAUUAAAGUUUGGCUAGUAAGUUCUCUGAUAUUUAUUAUU